GAUGAGAGGGACCAGCACUAGGGUCUAGGCUGGCCCAUAGUUUCAUCUAUGUAAUGAAGGCAUCAUGAGGUUACUGAACAAAGAGAACCAUGAAGGCCAGAGAAAAGCCAUGAGAUGUGAGCUGGUGCUCCUCGAAGGCUGGCAGGUUAGGAUAAAGAAGUGAAUAAGACACAUGUGCUACCUACCUGAAAUAACUUAUAUUCUAGAUUGGUGAGAUAGUUCAGCUAUCUAGAACAUUCCAGUUACCUAAAUACACAGGCUGUUUGAAGACAAGAAAAGAUUUGCUCUUACUUAUACUGGAAUCUUUGCUGGGAACAGAAUCCUCAAAUGUGUCAAUCAAUGAAUGCAGAGAAGACUGCAGGCUUUCCUCUCCAGUCGAAUGCUUAUCAAGAUGAAAUGACUCAUUGUACAAGCAGGUGUAAGAGUUCCUGACUAUUUCCACUCAUUAUCAGUCGCAAGCAACUUCCUGCUGGGUGGGGAGGGAAGCAAGUAAUUUACAGCCAUAUUCUGUCAGCAAAACUGUGAUGAUUAUCAAUGAUUGUUCCCUGAACACCCAGAAUGCACCAGACACUACUUCCACGUAUGAACGCCAUGAAACAUGUCAGGACUUUCUCUGAGUCUAUGAAGACAGGG